GACGAACGCUGGCGGCGUGCUUAACACAUGCAAGUCGAACGUGAUUUUUGUGGAAAUUCCUUCGGGAAUGGAAGUAAAAUGAAAGUGGCGAACGGGUGAGUAACACGUGAGCAACCUACCUUACACAGGGGGAUAGCCGUUGGAAACGACGAUUAAUACCGCAUGAGACCACAGAACCGCAUGGUAUAGGGGUCAAAGAUUUAUCGGUGUAAGAUGGGCUCGCGUCUGAUUAGCUAGUUGGAAGGGUAAAGGCCUACCAAGGCGACGAUCAGUAGCCGGUCUGAGAGGAUGAACGGCCACAUUGGAACUGAGACACGGUCCAAACUCCUACGGGAGGCAGCAGUGGGGAAUAUUGCACAAUGGGGGAAACCCUGAUGCAGCGACGCCGCGUGAGCGAAGAAGGUUUUCGAAUCGUAAAGCUCUGUCCUAUGAGAAGAUAA
rnacentral:rRNA from 1 species